UCGUAUUCUUUUUGGCAUGUGGACAGCAAGAUUAAACCUUCAACCUUCAGACUGAGAGACAAAAUAGACAAAAGAGAGAGAAAUAAAACAACCAUGAGAAAGAUAAACAUACAAUUCACCAAAAUAAAGUUUCAUAAAUGGAAAAAAUAUCAGGAUUUGUUAAGAAAACUCCUUCAAAUGACAUUUCAGCGCUCAUAUUUCUACACCUGUAUCUCUACUUCUGCUUCACAGGAGACGGCGUAAGCUACUUCAACCUCUUCGCUGUGGUCAAAACAAAGGGUUAACUCUCGGUUCUUCAUCGCCAACUCAUUUAACAAGAGUCUAAAGGGACUCUCAUUCAUCAAGAGAUCUGAGCGCAGUGUUAACGUUAUGUUUCUCAUUUCACACACAUAUUACGGCCGCGCUCAGAGUGAUUGGUCUCUGGUGAGCAGUCAGGUACAAUUUAAAAGUCCUGUCUAUUUGUAAUCUGCUGGAAAGAUUGAAACAUGCUCUGAUACGGUACAGCAGAUCAAUCCAGAGCACAUACACUCUCCAUACACCUAUCCACACUAAUCAUUCGUCAAAACACUCUGGGCCAAAGAUAAGACGCUCGUCUAAUUAAGGUUUUGCAAGCCCAGCGCAAUAAAGACACUAAAAUGUCUCAGGGAUUAUUACUGCAGAUCGAUGUACAAUCUCCUGCUUUUUGAUUCAUCUCAGGAAUUAUCGUUGCUUCUGUGUGGUUUGGGUUAUGAUACAGAUGAAGAUAUAAAAGUGAAAGGAAAGUGAAUUUCAGGAUUACUGAACGUGUCUGUGAUCCAACAAUAAGACAUCUGAGUGAGAGCUGUGACUGAAACAUGUCCAACCAGAGUUUCAGAGCUCAUUUAACGUCAGAAUAAAAUCCCAGAGAAGAAUUUAAAAAAAUUAACCUGUUUGAGGAAAGAGGACCGAUCCAGUACAGUGAUUCAGAACAAGCAGGAACAUAAUAUUAGUAAAAGGGGCAGUUUGAAGUUUGGUUCACCUACAGUAUAAAGAGUUUUUUCACAUUUAUGAAAAAGACUGAAAUUAACAUUGAAGCCUUUUUAAGAUAAAAACAAACAACAUUGACAAUAUUUAUAAUGUGAUUUUUAAUGUCUGAAACAAUGAGAGGGGGUAGGUGUCAGCCAUCCACAUCCCUAGCUGUGUGACUGAGACUUCUUUAGAGAAGAUAAUUCCUCAUAAAACAUUGUUUUGCAUGCUUUUAUUUAACUAUUUUUCUGUCUUGAUGAAUUCACUUGUAUGCUUUUAUUUUGAAAUAUAAGCGUCUAACGUUAGAUUGUAAGUUUUGGAGCUGAAUAGAAAUGUUGAAAGAGCGAUUAGAAAGUAUAAAUGUGAAGUUGGUAAAAACUGAAGGACUCACAAGCUCAUCUCAAGCAGAGCAGGUGUUUCACAUGGGGUUAAAAUCACAACAUUUUCUCUGAUCUUUAAGGACCACAGAGUCUCCUCUAAUUUUCGUUGUUAACCCCAGAGAUGAUUCAGCACUUGUGGGUAUCCUUUGGAUAAUCGAUAGAGAAAUGUCAAAAAAGGGGUCAAAAAAUGUUGAAUCUUUUACUUCCAAACAUCAGGACCAAUAUUAGUACCACAGUCUGGUUUACAUAAGCAUCUUGGUGACUUGGUGACCGUUGGGCAUGAGGUAAAGAUGGCACUGAGUUCAGUUAGUGAUGAUACAGGACAGACAGUGAGUUUAAUAAGAGGUCGGACAGAUAAAAGAGACUACAGAGUCUAUUUCUCACAUUUUUCAGCUUCAGCUGCUCGCUGACUUUCCUUCAAACACAAAUAGGACAGAGCAGAAUAAACAGAGCUCAGGGCCUUUGUGGGCUUCUUCGCCUGUGGCCCCCUCCUGUCUGGGAUCGCCGACGGCUCAGCCUGGCGUGUUUGUGCUGCGUCGUUUUUUCUUAUCAAAGCAGAGAUCUUACUGUCCCACUUAAAUGGUAAAAACAGGAGAGUGGAGCUGGGUGCAAAUUGUUGUGUUUACAGGCAUAAACUGCGAUCCCAAAGGGCAGUUAUUAAGUGUUCACACGCUGCAGGGGAAGAGGCUCCAUAAUCCCUCCGAACAUGAACGAUAACAAUAAAGAACAACAACAAGCUAAACCUCAACACACACACACUCUCUCUCUCUCAGACACACACACACACGAAGUUGUACAGAGGUGCUUUAUCUAAAAGGCAUCUGAGAGGUCUUUGUGUUCAUGUAAGGAGGGUAAGCUUAGUGUUACAAGCAGGAGUCCAGUCCAGAAGCAAAAACUCCCAUGUAUAACCUACUGUAUAUAUAGAUAAAUAUCAAAGAAAAGAGCUGAAACAUCUGCAGACGUCAUUCAGGGCUCUUACACUAAAACAAACUCCACUCUUGAUAAGUGUUUUUGUUUUAUUUUUAGUUUAAAGUGUCUCAGGAGGCUUAAUUUAAGACGCACUUACCUUAUAAGUCCAGGCAAACUGCUUGUUUUGUGAAAGUACACUCCACAAAUGAGACCUGAAAGGCUAAUAAUGGCUAAAAAAAUAUUUGACAAUGGUAUAAGGAAAAAAAAGUUUUUGCUCUCAUUAAAUUCAGUGUAUUUACUUAUUUUUGGCAUGUUAAACCUUCAAAGAAGAUAUUUUCUGUACUCGUCAGGUGAAUGUGGCUUAAAUUUAACCUAAAAAUACAUUUAUUAGUUAGUUAUUAGAAAGAAACUCUUACUAAAAUGAGGCUUUUUGCAGAGGAGUUUCGGUAUUUUUAGCAGAUGGGAUUUAAAAAACGGAAUCUGUGGGGAAGCGCUCCAUAUUUUUGGCAAACAUGAUAGGGGUCAGCUGCCAAAACUCUCUCUGAGUACAAACACUGAACUGUUCAGUCCUCCAGGAGCUGACCUCGAUGACUUUAUGAGCCUCAACUUUUUGCCUUUGCCUUUACAUAAAUGUGAAAAUCAGCGGGGACUUGACCUUAUUGACAAUGAUUUUUAGGAGGAGGCAGGUCAGACUAUAGAAGAAGUGAAAUACAUGAUAUGAAUUGAAACGAUGAGCUAAAACAGGAUCAAGUUGGAGACAGAAAAUCACAUAUUUCAAACCGAACUAAUUCAUUACUUAUAUUUACGUUCAUUACAAAUCAUUUAAAAACCUGAAACUAAUUUGUGUGAAUUUUUUACUUACUUGUUAACUCUGCAAGUCCCAAAGCUUAAAAACUGCCGAUUCUGGAGCGCGCAGAUGGCCUGGCGGGUUAGCGCACCCCAUGUAUGGGGAAGACAGUCUCUGCAGCGGUUGCGGGCUUGAGUCUGGCCCUGACCAUGUGCUGCAUAAGAAUAAGAAUAACUUUAUUAAUCCCCGAAGAAAAUUCAAUUGUCUGUUGUCUCACAUAAUAUGUCUCCAAAAGUUACCUACUAUUUACACAAGAGUUAUAAAUUCAAAUGGCUGUUGGUACCAAAGAUCUUCUGAAUCUUUCUGUCCUGCAGCGAAAAAGAGAGAGGAGCCGUCCACCACCAUUGACCCUUUGGUCCAUCAAGGUGUUGUAAAGUGGGUGAUCCAUGUUCUUUAGAAUAGACUCCACCUUCUUCAGUGUAGAUCUCUCCACCACAUCCUCCACUGAGUCCAGCCUGAGUCCAACCACAGAGCCAGCCUUUUUCACCAGUUUGCUAAGUUUGUCCUCCCCCAUCUGCAGUUCCUCCAUUGUCCACUAGAGGCUGGUUCAAAAGUGAGUCAAUCCCCAUAGAGCCCUAUGUUAAAAUGUAAGCAGAAACAAACAUGUUAACAGACUGGUACUGAAAUUGAUUUCUGGCUCAAUACCCUAAUCAUGAUAUCUGCUGAAUAUUUAAAGAUGUCGCUCCCAUAAAUUAUAUAAAGGCUAAAAGUUGUGUAUAAUUAGGGGUGGGGCCUCUUUGAGUGACAGGUCGGAGCUGCUAUCUGUCUGGUAGUUGUCUCUUCAGCUAAACUUAAACUUCUGGGUCAUGUUUGUGGUGCUGGCGCCUUUCCAGGCAUAUAAUCUCCCUUUUAACACUCAUGCUAGCAUUAAUUAGCAGAUAUCUGUGUCUGUGCUCGCCAUCCUUAGCUUUUUAGCUCAUUCAGUGUAUGUCAAACAUUGAUUUAUUCACAGUGCACAGGAGGAGGAUUGUUGUUGGCUGUUCCUGCACAGAACUAUAGUGAUAAGAGGCCUGAUUGUUACAGUUUUAAAGCAAUCAUUAUUCAAACCGAGGACAAACAAAAACUUUAAUCAUGAAGCCUCAGUGAUUGUGUUAGGACUGUUUAAAUAUAAUCAUAAAGUUCAACAACGCUCUCUCAGCAGAAGCUCCAUAAUAACAACAAAUGAUACAUCAUUCUCCCUCUAACUGUCUCGCUGUAUUGUCUGCUUGUUUUUGCGAGAAAAACUUUUGUCCUGAGUGAUUACGAGACAAUGAGAGCGAGCUGUCAUUUGUAAUCAGAGCGAGCUGCAGCAGCAUCCACACUGCUAAUGCAAAAUGUGUUUUUGUUAACUUGUUUCCCUGAGCCAACGGCCGACAGUCCCAAACUUCAAAAGAAGAGUUUGCACGCCCACAUCGGACUGUGAAUGAAAUCACAGACAGGAAUAUAAUUGCGGUGUAUGAAUUAUUCAGUUUGGGGAUUUGUGAUAAGACUAAAUUCUUAUCGGGGGCUUUCCCUCGAGGUCCUGCAGACGGAUUUCUCGUCUCUGUGCUGCCGGCUGCUCCAGCACUCGGCUGAGGUCCCCUGCUUCGCCUGAUACCAACAGGAGGGAACAGUUAGCUGAAUCCACUCAGACUGACAUGCUGCUUACAAACGGGCUUCAUAGGUAAUUAAUCCUUAAUGAAUCUUCUGUGCCCUCAUCCUGACUUUGAUUAUAUUUUGAUACCUUGAAAAACGAGCUGUUAACCCGGGAGUCGUAACAAGAACAAGCAAGCGGGGGGCUUUACUCUGGACUCCCUUUAACAUGAUGGAUCUGGCAUUUGUAGCAGAACUUUGAAGGUUCUGUGUGGUGUGGUGAACACCAGCGCACACAGAAAUCUCUGUUUAGUGUGGCGGGCAGGAGAGGGUUGGCUCUGCAGGAAGCUCACCUGGAUGGGUGGCUGUGCAGGAACUAAUUUUUCUUAUUUACUUAGUGGGAUGUAGUUGAAUUUAUUUUAUAUUUGCCUCUUUUUCUGUUGGGUUAUUUGAGUUGAUUUUCUUUGCUCUGUACUGCUUGGACAUAUAUUUGUGACUAAAGGUCUUAUUCAGCUGCAUGUGUUUAUUUCUCUGUAUUCACCUGACAAUAAUAUUUCAUCUGUACUGACAUAUUCUCAUCUUUACACUGGAACCAGUCUCUAGUCCAGUAGUAAAACAAACCUACUCUCUCUGUGCUCCCUGUGCUGAUGCUGAAAUUUACCUUCAUUAAAGUCCCGGGGGCUUAAAUCCUCCCGGGUGAAUCCCCUGCUCCCUGCCACACAAUCUGCAGGACAGCUGAGGCUGUUUUGAAUAAUUGCUCUAAGUGUGCAGUAAGAGAGCAGGCAGGACCAUCUUGUGCAGAGUUUCUCUUCCCUUUUUGUUUUUGAACAUAUCGGUCCAGAAAACUUUAAAGCACAGCACGAGUUCCCCCCUGUGGCUCACUUUCUGGAAGUGUUGGACCGGUAAAAUGUUUUUUUUUUUUCCUCCUCUGCUAUAAAUCUCUUGUUGUGAUCCUAUACUUCAGGGUUUAACAAUGACCUCAACAAACUCCUCUCUCUCUGCAGCUCUGUGUGACUGCAUGGGAAAGUUACCGCUCUUUCCAGCUUACUUUACUUCAGAGCUGUCUAUCCUGGGCUUUAUCAAAGGGAUCGAGUUUCUUAACUGCUGCCCAAAUUUCAAAAAAGCCUCCCACUACUGUUCUCUGCAGCAGAAAGUCACCUCCAGAUACAGUAUAUCUCCAACACAUCAGAAAAAUGUAGGAGUAUAUCAUAGAGGUGCUAUCGUUAGAGCUCAGAUGGACAGGCUUUCAGAUUUAACAUUUAGGUCUUCCUCUUAUAGAUCAAACCAGCUCUGUCUUUGAAAAGUUUGCAUCUUUGUGAUGAUAUCCCGAAGAUCCAAGGUGCUCGGGGGGGGGAGGCACAGCUGAGUCAAAAGCCAGGUCUCACAAUUCAUUUUAUUUUUGGCAGCGUGUGUCAGACAUCUUUGUUCUUAUAAAGGUGUGACCUCGGCAGUUAAGUGCCCGAACUCCGAGUGGGAGUCAGCGCUUUUAGAAGUCCUCCUCAGAAAAGAAGACUGGCUGCGAGGACAUCUGUUUUAUGUGUAAGGUUGUUCUUCUUUUGGCCGCUGCCCCACAUACACAGCUGCACACAUCGGCCCCUGAGGAGUCGGAGCUGAUGCUAACAGGCUCGCCUUGAUGGCACCUUCAGCUCCGUCUCUAUUAUCCUGCGGGGGACAUUAGGUAAAAACAUGGAAAACAUAAGCACCCAAUCGUAAAACCCAUUAGCUAUCGUCUGAUUAAGAAACAUGCACCUGAGAUGACUGCCAAUGUCUUGUUCCUGUGCUCUGCAUUAUUUGGAGUCUGAUUAGUAACUUGGGAAGAUAAAAAAAAGAAGCUAAAUUUACCCUUCCACAUAUCUGCAUCCUCUAGAAGUGUACCUGUUCAUCUGUCACUGCUGAGUCUCAGUUUCACUGUCAAUAAGUAUGGGAUGAAACCGUUAUGCCACUCACUAUCGUAGGACCCAACAAAUAUUUAAUGAUCUAUCCAUCUAUCUAUCUAUCUAUCUAUCUAUAUCCAUUUAUCUACGUCUAUCUAUCUAUCUAUCUAUCUGUUUGUCUAUCUAUCUAUCUAUCUAUCUAUCUAUCUAUCUAUCUAUCUAUCUAUCUAUCUAUCUAUCUAUCUAUCUAUCUAUCUAUCUAUCUAUCUAUCUAUCUAUCUAUCUAUCUAUCUGUUUGUCUAUCUAUCUAUCUAUCUAUCUAUCUAUCUAUCUAUCUAUAUCCAUUUAUCUAUGUCUAUCGAUCUAUCUAUCUUUUUAUCUAUAUCCAUUUAUCUACGUAUCUAUCUAUCUAUCUAUCUAUCUAUCUAUCUAUCUAUCUAUCUUUGUUUUAAAAAGUCUUUCAUACAGCUGAUAUUUACGGUGUAGGAAACCUUUAACGAUAUAGAAAAGGGGAUUAAAGUUGUUUUUAUAAAAUUUAAGAAAAAGCAAGUCUGGAGGAAUUUUCAAGAGUAACUGACGAUUAGGAAGAGGAGCAGCAAACGUGUAAAAGUUCUGAAAUACAACAGGCACUAAUCAGGCACCUCUGGGUUGAGGUGACACAGUUGCUCUGUUCUGUCCAAUCUAAGCUUGGGUUCAAAGAAGGAACAACAAACCAGUACAGAGAAACAUCUUCAAAGGCCUUAAUGAUAGGUGUUAUAUAUAAAUGAAAAAGGGCUGGUGGGAUCAGUCACACAUACUGAUGGUGGGUGUGGGAGUAGAUCACACACACCGUGGGAGCAGGUGGUAAUGGUCAGAAACCCAGCAGGAGCAGGAGGGGGUGGGAUUAAGACCACGGUCCCAUGAGGGUCUUGAGGAUGAAUUGGCUGUACUCCCAGAACCCAUCGGAUAUCAUCCACACAUCCAUCAUGUGAACUCUAACAUAUUUAUAGGCAGCUUAUCUUCUUUAUGGUCUUGAGGGGCUGCAGCUUAUCCCCUAGGCAAAAAGUGGGGUUACACCUGAAAAGGUCAACAGUCAGCCAAAGAGCAAACACAGCAAAUCUACGGGCCCUAUCGUAACCCAAGUGCAAAGUGUUCAGACAUUUGUCAUUAUUAUUUUCAGUCAUCAUUUUCAUGCCUGGAGCCCAUGUAACCUUCUCCUUUGGGUGGGUUGGUUUUAGAAUGGCUUGAGGUUUGGUGCAAAGGUAGCGGAUUGCUGUCUUGACGAUGUAAAGAGCAUCUGUGCUCUAUAGACCAUCAAAAACCCGGUCUAAAGUCAGCCAUGUAGUGUGUUCCUGAUAUUUAGACGGUGUAUCAGUGAGACCACAAGAGUUCAAAACAUGCAUUCCUCUGCUUGUCAGACACCAACAGAAACACA
rnacentral:lncRNA from 1 species